UACGGAGGGAGCUAGCGUUGUUCGGAAUUACUGGGCGUAAAGCGUGCGCAGGCGGUUUUGUAAGUUUGUCGUGAAAGCCCCGGGCUCAACCUGGGAAUUGCGAUGAAGACUGCAAGGCUUGAAUCUGGCAGAGGGGGGUAGAAUUCCACGUGUAGCAGUGAAAUGCGUAGAGAUGUGGAGGAACACCGAUGGCGAAGGCAGCCCCCUGGGUCAAGAUUGACGCUCGAUGCACGAAAGCGUGGGGAGCAAACAGG
rnacentral:rRNA from 1 species